AGCAGCCGCGGUAAUUCCAGCUCCAAUAGCGUAUAUUAAAGUUGCUGCAGUUAAAAAGCUCGUAGUUGAAUUUCGGGAUCAAUAUGUUGGUCGUGCCUUGGUACGCACUAGCUCAUUGGUUUCUCCCUUCUGACGAACCAUGAUGUCAUUAAUUUGAUGUCAUGGGGAAUCAGGACUGUUACUUUGAAAAAAUUAGAGUGUUUAAAGCAGGCUCGCGCUUGAAUACAUUAGCAUGGAAUAAUGAAAUAGGACAUUUGAUUCUAUUUUGUUGGUUUCUAGGAUCGAUGUAAUGAUUAAUAGGGAUAGUUGGGGGCAUUAGUAUUCAAUUGUCAGAGGUGAAAUUCUUGGAUUUAUUGAAGACUAACUACUGCGAAAGCAUUUGCCAAGGAUGUUUUCAUUAAUCAAGAACGAAAGUUAGGGUAUCGAAGACGAUCAGAUACCGUCGUAGUCUUAACCAUAAACUAUGCCGACUAGGGAUCGGAUGAUCGUUUU
rnacentral:rRNA from 1 species